rnacentral:rRNA from 1 species
UACGGAGGAUGCGAGCGUUAUCCGGAUUUAUUGGGUUUAAAGGGUGCGUAGGCGGGACCUUAAGUCAGCGGUAAAAUUGCGGUGCUCAACGCCGUAGAGCCGUUGAAACUGGGGAUCUAGAGUGUGCGAGAGGUAUGCGGAAUGCGUGGUGUAGCGGUGAAAUGCAUAGAUAUCACGCAGAACCCCGAUUGCGAAGGCAGCAUACCGGUGCACAACUGACGCUCAGGCACGAAAGCGUGGGUAUCGAACAGG